rnacentral:lncRNA from 1 species
AAUAUUAUAAAAAGCUCAACACAAAAAUAAAUUUCAAUUCUUUACCAGGAAGCCAUUAAAUAUAUUACACACACACACACACACACACACACACACACACACAUAUAUAUAUAUAUAUAUAUUAUUCUUUAUCCAAAAUAAAAUUUCCUGGAAUUUUGUUGGACUGCAUAUUGAAGAUUAUGCAUGCAUGUGGAGGAGAUCCCAUUUCAUCAAGCAACCUAAUCCAAAUCUUCAUUUCGUGGAGUGAAAGCCCCCUUUUGAUGGAUCUGCAUGGCCAUCAGCUGAAAAUAGCUGAUACUUGUAGUUUUGGUUGUUUUGAGUGGGAAAAUAUAAAUACAAUACUUGUUUGAUUACGGUCACGAUUUUGAGUGGGAAAAAUAUAAAUACAAUAUUUGUAUGAUUACUUUCACAAAUGAAGUAUCUGGAGCAUAGGGGAGUAAGAACAUAACAAAAUAUAAAGGGCGUGUUGCGAAUCCAAUUGGCAAGUAUCUAAAGUAUUCUCUAUCUCAUUUCUCAAUCUUUAAAUUGAAUGUGAUUAAAAAUGUCGAUGGUUAUUUAUAGCCCAUUAAACAUAUCAAUGCGUCAUACAUUUAGCAACACACUCUUCGAAUUUUAAAAGAAAAAGUGUUGUGUGCAUA